CAGCCGCCACGGGAAUACGUAGGUGGCAAGCGUUGCCCGGAAUUAUUGGGCGUAGAGGGCUCGCAGGCGGUUUCUUAAGUCUGAUGUGAAAGCCCCCGGCUCAACCGGGGAGGGUCAUUGGAAGCUGGGAAACUUGAGUGCAGAAGAGGAGAGUGGAAUUCCACGUGUAGCGGUGAAAUGCGUAGAGAUGUGGAGGAACACCAGUGGCGAAGGCGACUCUCUGGUCUGUAACUGACGCUGAGGAGCGAAAGCGUGGGGAGCGAACAGGAUUAGAUACCCGUGUAGUCCCUGUCUCUUAUAC
rnacentral:rRNA from 1 species